CAAAGAACACCCCAGAAAACCCUAGAAGCUCCCCCAUUUUCCACCGACUUGGGCCGGCGGCGCCACCCCAAACUACCCCAAAUCAACACCAUGGAACUCUCACAGCCUCCCCUCUCCCAUUCUCCAAUUAUUUUACCUCGAAUCCCCCUGGAGCUCCUCGAAUCUUAAAUCAAAGAUUCGAACCCUAAAUUCCCAAAACCUAAAUUAGUGAGCUUAUUGAAGAUUUGAAGUCGAAAUUGGCUUUAUUCAUAUGUUUUCGUUUGAGAACACAUGAUUAAAGCCCAUUUCGGUCAAAAUCGAAAGCUCGAGGGGUGAAUCCAAGAUUAAGCCCGUCUAAUUUAGGUACAUGCUCUUGAACCUUAUUUAAUGUAAGGUUUGAAUUGAAGAGUGAAAUGGAAAUAUAGAGUUUGAAGCAUGUCCUCAACUUUGUUUCUGAAUUCAGUUGCAUUUCCUCAUUUAUAUGGUGUUUUAAUGGCCUAAUUCCCCAUGUUUCUAAUUAAUUUCUAGUUAGAUAGCGAAGUUUGUAUUCUUAGAAUUGAUUUGGAACUGUUAAAGACGACAUAGUAGAUGGUUUAUUCCAGUUAUACAACCUGCUUUUAUUUUGCUGAA